GGCAGACGGGUGAGUAACAUGUAGGUAUCUGCCCUUUGGCCUGGAAUAACACGAGGAAACUUGUGCUAAUACCGGAUAAGUCUUUACGGAGAAAGCUUUAUGCACCAUUGGAUGAGCCUGCACUUGAUUAGUUUGUUGGUAGGGUAAUGGCCUACCAAGACUGUGAUCAAUAGCUGAUUUGAGAGGAUGAUCAGCCACAUUGGGACUGAGACACGGCCCAAACUCCUACGGGAGGCAGCAGUGGGGAAUCUUGCACAAUGGAGGAAACUCUGAUGCAGCGAUGCCGCGUGAGUGAAGAAGGCCUUUGGGUUGUAAAGCUCUUUCGUCGGGGAAGAAAAUGACUGUACCCGAAUAAGAAGGUCCGGCUAACUCCGUGCCAGCAGCCGCGGUAAUACGAAGGGACCUAGCGUAGUUCGGAAUUACUGGGCUUAAAGAGUUCGUAGGUGGUUGAAAAAGUUGGUGGUGAAAUCCCAGAGCUUAACUCUGGAACUGCCAUCAAAACUUUUCAGCUAGAGUAUGAUAGAGGAAAGCAGAAUUUCUAGUGUAGAGGUGAAAUUCGUAGAUAUUAGAAAGAAUACCAAUUGCGAAGGCAGCUUUCUGGAUCAUUACUGACACUGAGGAACGAAAGCAUGGGUAGCGAAGAGGAUUAGAUACCCUCGUAGUCCAUGCCGUAAACGAUGUGUGUUAGACGUUGGAAAUUUAUUUUCAGUGUCGCAGCGAAAGCGAUAAACACACCGCCUGGGGAGUACGACCGCAAGGUUAAAACUCAAAUGAAUUGACGGGGACCCGCACAAGUAGUGGAGCAUGUGGUUUAAUUCGAAGAUACGCGCAGAACCUUACCAACACUUGACAUGUUCGUCGCGACUUUAAGAGAUUAAAGUUUUCGGUUCGGCCGGACGAAACACAGGUGCUGCAUGGCUGUCGUCAGCUCGUGUCGUGAGAUGUUGGGUUAAGUCCCGCAACGAGCGCAACCCUCACUUUUAGUUGCCAUCAUUAAGUUGGGCACUCUGAAAGAACUGCCAGUGAUAAGCUGGAGGAAGGUGGGGAUGACGUCAAGUCCCCAUGGCCCUUACGUGUUGGGCUACACACGUGCUACAAUGGUAUCUACAACAGGAAGCAAGACUGCGAAGUUAAGCAAAUCCUUAAAAGAUACCUCAGUUCGGAUUGCACUCUGCAACUCGAGUGCAUGAAGCUGGAAUUACUAGUAAUCGUGGAUCAGCGUGCCACGGUGAAUGCGUUCCCGGGUCUUGUACACACCGCCCGUCACACCAUGGGAGUUGGUUCUACCUUAA
rnacentral:rRNA from 1 species